CGUAAAGUAAGGCCGUUUUAAAUCGCGACGCCGUGGGAAAUGAUCCGGGCGACGGACUUACGAUUUUGCAGUCCUGUGGACUUAAUCUGCGACGGACCACCGGGUGUGUGUGUGUGGCUGGACGGGCGGAAGACCUGGUUUGUGAGGGUUCCUGGACACAGCUACACCGAAACGAAACCGCUGGUAUUUGAAAAAGCAAGAUGGCGCCGCACGUGAACCGGAAGUGGAUUCUGAUGCAGCGCUGACCUCGAACGGUAUGGAG